GGUUUCUAGGUCUCUGGGUUUCUAUGUCUUUGGGUUUCUAGGUCUCUGGGUUUCUAGGUCUCUGGGUUUCUAGGUCUCUGGGUUUCUAGGUCCCUGGGUCUCUGGGUUUCUAGGUCUCUGAGUUUCUAGGUCUCUGGGUUUCUAGGUCUCUGGGUUUCUAGGUAUCUGGGUAUCCGGGUUUCUAGGUCUCUGGGUUUCUGGGUUUCUAGGUCUCUGGGUUUCUAGGUCUCUGGGUCUCUAGAUCUCUGUAUUUAUAG